rnacentral:lncRNA from 1 species
GUCUCAAAUUAUUAUUAAAAAUUAAAGGGCAGCUUUUUGUUGAGUCAUUGGUCAUUUUUUCUCCAAUAUAUCUCAUAGAUUUUAAUUUGAUUGCUAAAAACUACAAUUUACCAUUACACAUAAUUAUGAUCUUUUUUACAAUGACAUCCUUGUUUUUUCACCAAAUAAGUUCUGUGCAGAAUACCGCAGAAAAUAUUUUAAAACAUUUUAAAGAACAUUAAUACAAAUCAAUCUUGAGGUUUUAGCGGAGAUUUUUU